rnacentral:lncRNA from 1 species
ACACUGCAAAAUGAAUAAAGGUACAAUUUGUUCAUACCACUCAUUUUCUUAAAUACAAGUGGUACUUUAAAAGAAAUACUAAAACACCCACUAAAAACUUUGUCUACACAUUUCGGAAAAAUAUGAAUUAGUUCUAACAAUUUCCACCCAAAUUAAUAAGAAUGGUGUUAUUAAAUUAGUUACAAACUAGCUACAAUUUCUGGAUUUAGAUAUGAUGUUAAUAU